AUGUCCCCUCUGCCACACAGCCACCAGACGGGGUUGGUGUCAGCUCUGCUCUGCUCAGCUCAAAUGUGUGCAGACGUUUCCUCUCCUGCUUCAUUUUACAGUGCUCUUCAGGAUAAAUUUCCAUUAUGUGUUUGGGCAGAUGCUGAGCAUAGCCCCAGUUUAAUCAGGGAUGCAAGGAGACAGCAUCCUCACACCUUGCAGAAGCUGCGAUCUCCUGAUCUUCUCUGCCAGAAAUGCAGCAGGAAGAUAAAAACCGUAAUUCCUACAAACAACAUAACGAUGUUUUGUCAGUCGCAAAAAAAAAAAAAAAAAAGAAAGAAAAGAAAAGAAGAAAAAUCCAGCACCCAGUGGUUCAGUCUUUACAGAACUUCAUCAAAUCCAGUAAAAUUAAAAAAAGAGUAACCCUCCAGCUGCAAUCUCCAUGGAAAUAGAGAGAAGGCUCAAAUACAGUAGAGGAGGGAUGUAUUCUGUCUGAUUUCUGUGUUUCUUGGAACAGCUCAAUGCAUUGUUACAGCGAGCAUUGUGCCUUCUGAACGAGUUUUGCAAACAAAAUAAACUUUGUAUUUCUUUGACUGUGCUUUGUUAG
rnacentral:lncRNA from 1 species